GUACAGCAAAAAAAAAAGCACAAUGUAAAAUCUCAAUAUUACAUCGCGGCAUAACCUGAACAAAAAAUAUAACAGCAGAUCCAUAACGUUGUACAGAAAGAAAAGGACAAAACUGGUUAUCAGCAUCAGUCUGUUUCAAAGAAGUCUUCAAACCAACGAAAACAGACAGGAAGAAGGACAAACUUUUGUUUAAAAUGAAUAGAGCGUCCAGGUGUUGCUGAAGCAGGAGAGAGGUUCAGCUCCUGGAGAGCAGAGGAGCUUUGUGACCUUCUCAUGUAGUCCAAACGGUCUCACGGUGGGCCUCACUGUCCAGACUCUCCCCUCGUUUCUGUUUCCAGGGUUGAGAUGUGGAGGAUGGUGGUGCCAGAUUUACAACAGGGCCAGUUCUGGCCCAAGAGGACCUCUAAAGGGGCCUAAUGUUACUCUAAGGUCCAAGGCCCUUCUGUUAUUUUCAGAGAGAGACUGGAAGCCAAAACAGACACUCCAUCUAAACAUGAAUCAGAUUCUCAACUGCGAUACAUUUCUAGAAACAUAAAACCCUUUUACUUCCAUAUCACAUCGAAAUAAUUUAGCAAAUGUAAAAUACACAUUUCCUGAAGUGGUGUGAAGUCCUUUAGUGAAACGUUUUGGGGUAUCUGUACUACAUUCCUAAAAAUAAUGUACUUUUUACUCCAUACAUUUUCCCUGACACCCAAAAAGUACAUUUUGAAUGCUUAGCAGGACAGGAAAUGGUCUGAUUUAUACACUCAUCAAGAGAACAUGGUCAUUCAUACUUUUGAUCCGUAAGUAUAUUUUAGCAAUUAUGUUGACUUUUUAUACUGAUGUAUAUUUAAAACCAAAGACUUUCACUCAAAGAACAAACUUUUGUUUAAAAAUGAAUAGAGCGUCCAGGUGUUGCUGAAGCAGGAGAGAGGUCCAGCUCCUGGAGAGCAGAGGAGCUUUGUGACCUUCUCAUAAGGUCGUAUUUUACUGGGUGACUCACUUUUCUAUUAAAGUAUCAUUACUUUUACUCAGGUAUGAGAAUGUAUUUUUUACACUGCUGCUGUACACCGUUUUGACCAGCCGACAGAAUAUUUCAGUGACAACACGUUUUCUGGCGGUCUGCUUCCAUUACACACAGGUGUCAGGUGCACGCUAGAUAUCUAACUAGCACAGGUGUCAGGUGCAUGCUAGAUAUCUAAUUAGCACAGGUGUCAGGUGCACGCUAGAUAUCUAAUUAGCAUAGGUGUCAGGUGCAUGCUAGAUAUCUAAUUAGCACAGGUGUCAGGUGCAUGCUAGAUAUCUAAUUAGCACAGGUGUCAGGUGCAUGCUAGAUAUCUAAUUAGCACAGGUGUCAGGUGCACGCUAGAUAUCUAAUUAGCACAGGUGUCAGGUGCACGCUAGAUAUCUAAUUAGCACAGGUGUCAGGUGCAUGCUAGAUAUCUAAUUAGGAUAGGUGGUGUCUCGGUGGUCCGUCGACACUGUAACAUGGAUUCAUUUAAACUGGACACAGCAGAUCAUCUAGAUGACAGCAUCAACAGAGAAAAUACCUUUCUGAAAACUCGCCCCCGACUCCAAAACCAUCUGAUUCCUAAUGAAAACGGAAAAACCUUUCUGAAAUAAAUAGCUUCUCAUUUUCAGUUUAUUGAGAAAUAAUUGUAAUUAUUGAAUUGGAAUUUCAGUUUAUUUCCUGAACUGACCGACUUCUAUUGGAAUGGAUCCCAACAGGCCCCUGACCUCUGACCUCUGUGGAGCAGGACAGAUUGAGGAUGCAUCCCAACAGGCCCCUGACCUCUGUGGAGCAGGACAGAUUGAGGAUGCAUCCCAACAGGCCCCUGACCUCUGUGGAGCAGGACAAAUUGAGGAUGCAUCCCAACAGGCCCUGACCUCUGUGGAGCAGGACAGAUUGAGGAUACAGGCCCCUGACCUCUGUGGAGCAGGACAGAUUGAGGAUCCCACAGGCCCCUGACCUCUGUGGAGCAGGACAGAUUGAGG
ensembl:lncRNA